CGGGGUGUGGUGCAUCGGUAGCACGCCAAGUUCGGGACUUGGAGGCACAGGGUUCAAUUCCCUGCACCCCGACAA
rnacentral:tRNA from 2 species